UCUAAAACUGGAGGGGUAGCCUGUUUUCUCUCUUUCUGUCUAUAUAAUAUAUCACAAACAGGGAGCAGACAUAGGGUGACAGAAUUGUGUGUUCCCAGGAAAGCUGGUGGGGGAAAAAAAAGAAAAGAAGUAAGAUUACAGGCAGGGCCUCACUCUGUCAUCCAGGCUGGAGUGCCGUGGCGUGAUCUCGGCUCACUGCAAUCUCUGCCUCCCAGGUUCAAGCGAUUCUCACACCUUGGCCUCCCAAGUAGCUGGCAUUACAGGCAUGUACCACCACGUAUGGCUAAUUUUUGUAUUUUUAGUAGAGACGAGUUUUCACCAUGUUGGCCAGGCUGGUCUCAAACUUCCGGCCUCAAAUAAUCCAUCCACUUCAGCCUCCCACAGUGCUGGGAUUACAGACGUGAGCAACCGUGCCCAGCCCCUAAGUAAAUUCUUAUACUGACAACUGGAUAAUAUGAUUCAGAAUGUAAUCAAAAUAUAAGUCCAACUGAUGCAAAUGAAAUAAACGUCCAAGAAGUCAGUGA